UAAUAAUAAAUUGAUAAAACUAAGAUUAUAUAAUUAAAAAACAUACAAAAUUCAAGAUAUUUAGACCAUUGGCCAUCGAAAAACUAUCAAUGACUAGGCUCAGGACCCCUGAUCAAGUCUGGUAUCUUUUCAGGUCAGGCUGAAUGGGUCUCGAGCCUUUGAACCCAUCGAUUUCUCGAUACUUUAUCAAGAAGACAUUAUUUAAAGCAACAUUUUUUUUUUCUCCAUACAGGAACUAUUUAAUAUGACUAUUAUGAUUGAUUCACAAUAUCAGGGAAUUCUGCUGCAAAGUUGUUGUAGGAGUUCCUCCUGCAAGUAGACCAGUAUUCAGCUACAAGCUUGGAGAAGCUAGAGUUAAUCUCCAUAAGCCUCGAAGGUUUAUCAUACUCCAACAAUUUCCCAUAAGAG
rnacentral:misc_RNA from 1 species